rnacentral:misc_RNA from 1 species
AAAGUCGUAACAAGGUUUCCGUAGGUGAACCUGCGGAAGGAUCAUUAACACUUCUAUGUAACUUAUAAACCCCAAACCCCUACUUCUGUUAAAUACUACAGUAUAAUCAAAAAUAACACAACCUAACUUAAUUUAACCCAUAACACCUAACAACAUAACUAAUUGACUAAUUUUCAGAUUGUAUCUCUUCUUAAGCAAAUAUGUAUUCUCUUCAUUUGUUUCUUUAAUCGGAAAUAAGUUUAGAUCUGAUAUAUAGCAAUAUAUAUCUUGAGUCGUUUGUGACGAGUUGAGUCCGAUCUUGUUUUAAUUCCAAUUCAUUGAUUUGAAUUGUAUUUUAAACAACAUAUAUAUAUUACAACUCUAAACAAUGGAUAUCUUGGUUCUC